GAUGAACGCUGGCGGCGUGCCUAAUACAUGCAAGUCGAGCGAAUAGACGAGGAGCUUGCUCCUCUGACGUUAGCGGCGGACGGGCGAGUAACACGUGGAUAACCUACCUAUAAGACUGGGAUAACUUCGGGAAACCGGAGCUAAUACCGGAUAAUAUAUUGAACCGCAUGGUUCAAUAGUGAAAGACGGUUUUGCUGUCACUUAUAGAUGGAUCCGCGCCGCAUUAGCUAGUUGGUAAGGUAACGGCUUACCAAGGCGACGAUGCGUAGCCGACCUGAGAGGGUGAUCGGCCACACUGGAACUGAGACACGGUCCAGACUCCUACGGGAGGCAGCAGUAGGGAAUCUUCCGCAAUGGGCGAAAGCCUGACGGAGCAACGCCGCGUGAGUGAUGAAGGUCUUCGGAUCGUAAAACUCUGUUAUUAGGGAAGAACAAAUGUGUAUGUAACUAUGCACGUCUUGACGGUACCUAAUCAGAAAGCCACGGCUAACUACGUG
rnacentral:rRNA from 1 species